AGCGAACGCUGGCGGCAGGCCUAACACAUGCAAGUCGAACGAACUCUUCGGAGUUAGUGGCGGACGGGUGAGUAACACGUGGGAACGUGCCUUUAGGUUCGGAAUAACUCAGGGAAACUUGUGCUAAUACCGAAUGUGCCCUUCGGGGGAAAGAUUUAUCGCCUUUAGAGCGGCCCGCGUCUGAUUAGCUAGUUGGUGAGGUAAAGGCUCACCAAGGCGACGAUCAGUAGCUGGUCUGGGAGGAUGAUCAGCCACAUUGGGACUGAGACACGGCCCAAACUCCUACGGGAAGCAGCAGUGGGGAAUCUUGCGCAAUGGGCGAAAGCCUGACGCAGCCAUGCCGCGUGAAUGAUGAAGGUCUUAGGAUUGUAAAAUUCUUUCACCGGGGACGAUAAUGACGGUACCCGGAGAAGAAGCCCCGGCUAACUUCGUG
rnacentral:rRNA from 1 species